AAAUAAAUAACAAUUACGCUUUUCGUACCAGCGCAGUCACGAAUUGUUGGUGCAUUUUCGUAUCAGCUGAUGAUGGCAGUGGUGCUAAUUUAGUUUUAUAUUUGUUAAAUGUUUUUUGCACAGUUAUGCCGCCUGCCAAUAUUGAUAAACAAGUUUAAUGACCAGAAAAUAAGUGCGAAUAAGUUGCGUGAAGCGUUUUGUUGUUGUAAAAUGUUAUUAAAAGUGAGAUAAAAAGAAAGUAAAGUGUAGUGUAGAAUUUACAUAACCAACGACCUUAACAGUGUCGAAGAUUUCGAUUUAAUUUACGUCUCCACAUGUCAACUAGUUUAUGUUUGGCAGCUCGUUGUUUCCGACGAGAAAAAUUUAUCUGGCGAAAUUUACAAAGGAAAGAAGAAAAAUAUUAAACAACUAGUUUUAUUGAAACACUUUGUGUUUCUGCGUAAUCAUUGAAAUAAUUGGAGAAGUGUUUUGGGGUGUCUACUUUAUCACGAACAUAAAUAUUUGAGUGGCACAAAUCAUUUAGUGAAGGUCGUCAAAAACUAGCCUAAUGAGAAUCAUUUGUCAAAGAAGAUAACAUCGAAAAAUAUAAAGAAGCAAGUCUUCAAAAUCAAUCGAUUGGCAUCAGAGAGAUAGUAGAAGAACUCGACAUUUCUUGGCGAUCGAUAAAUUGUUUGCAAAAAUUGAUGACUGAGGAUUCUAGAUACAUCAAUUUACUAUCAACAUUCGCUCAAGGCACUGUAGGCCAUCCCAGCUGCGGCUUAUAACAAGUUCAUGGAAAAUUGGACUAGGUAGCUGAUGGCACUGGCUUUGUUCGCAAGUAAUUGUUCGAAACGCACUGUAAUGUACCUGUUGGGUAGAGCUGAGAGGUUAGUGAUGGCAGCUAUUUCUUCGUGUUUGGCUUCCUUAGUUCGCAUUUCACAUUUUAGGGAGGGAGAUCAUUAAAUAUUUUUCGGUCGUCUGAAGGACAAAAUGAUAAUCAAAGAUUGUGUUGCACCGAAUCGCUUCAACUAUGUAUACUGCUAUUUAACGGCACUAAAUUAACCGCAGUUAACAUAAUAACAUUUGCUGUAAUGUAAAGUCAUACGAAACUUCGAAAAUAUUAGCAGAUGUACAGUAUUUGACGGUACUUCCGCUGUUAAUAUCCAUUGAUGAAAUGCAUGUUGUGUUACAGCAUUAACUUAACCUAACCAACUAUUUUAAAUAAUUUUUUCCGUAACUUAUGUUUUAUAUUUUCAAUUGUAAAUAAUAAACGAGCUGUUAUUUUUUAUUAAGUUACAUGUAAAAUAUGGCUACCAUUGGUAUCCAAUAUAAAGUUCUGUGAAAAAAUGUAUGUGCUAGAAACCUUACAAAACUCUGUAAUAAUAACUGUUGGAUUUUAAUAUGCUUUUGAAUAUAGGUAUGUAUGUAUGUUUGACAUUUGACUUCAUCAAUGUACGAACUUUUUUAUUUAACAUUUGAUGCUUCAUGAUGCCGAUCAGGUUUGCACUUAACAUUAUUGUAAGUAAAGGAAGUGCAUGUCAUACAGGUACACAUUGAAAAGCAAUGGCAGACAUGCGUUUGCCAUAAGCGAAGCCGCAAAAUUACAUGCAACACGUACAGUCAGGUUCACAACUAUAUAAUAGUGGCAAGGUGACAACCACUGCAAUAUAUGAAAAGCGUACGUGAUGUCAAACUGGCAUACUAUUUACACUAUUUACACCUGCACAUGCACAUGGCGAACAAUAGACAGGCAAUGAGCGGCGUCUAUAGAAAACGUAGCUCGUAACGUCUACGGGUACUCGUAAAGAGAAUUAGCUAAACAAACUUAAUGUAUUUAUAUACACACAUAUAGCAGUACUCGUCAAAUUGUUGUGUCUAAAAAUAGUAAAGAAUUAAUCAUACAUUGAUUUGUUUUUAUACAUAGCCAAGUCUAUCGCACAGCGCGUGGAACAGUGAUGAAAUACAAACACUUCACUCGCUAUCAAGGGGCUUGCUAAAAACACGAUGCCGGUUUACUACGCAGUAAGCAGAAAUUGAUACGCGUUUGUGUUAAAGUGGGGCACAUCAAAGGCAGUAUUGAACAUAUGUACAUAUGUACAUAAGUAUUAGAGAACAAAAAACAAAAUUAUAUAUGUAUAUAAAUACAUAAGUAUAUAUACCAACAUGUUGAUUUUUAUUUAUGCUAUAAAUUUCAGUUUUACGUGAGCGAAAAACCAAAUAAUGUAGAGUAUGUAUAUGUUUAUGUACGUUAGUGUGAAUGUAGAUGCUUAACCAGUUGAAGCACGCCCAUAAAUAUGUGCCAAAUAUACCGCAUAUGCUGAAAAAAAAUAUCGCUAAAAACCGGCUGUGAUAUGUUUUAUUAUAUAUGUACACAGAUAUUCAAUUGCAAACAUACAUAAAUAAAUCAAUUAUUUUUAGAGAAGAAAAAAUUGACAGUUAAGUGGCAGUAGAAAAAAAUUAUGAAUGAAUUAUUAUGAAAAAUGCGGUUGAACUAGUUUUUAGACUCACUGUGGGCGAAGCAAAGUUGGUAAUUAUAAAUUAUGUGUGUAGAUAUAUAAAUAGUUUAUACUAUGUGUUUGUAGCGUUCAAUAAACUCAGCUGUUAACAAGAAAAUUAAGGUAAACGUAAACACGACUGCAAGUGCUGAAGAGUCAACGAGAAGUAAACAGAAGUCAAGUUGAAAAAAGCAAAAAUAAGGCGUGUUGAUAAAACAAAAAUUUUGUGUACAAAGUGUUAGAUGAAAAUCGGAAUGCCACAAAAAAAAAUUGUUUACAUUACGAGCGGCGACGUCUCAAGCAGUUGGUAGCAGAUUGAGACAAGCGAAGGGGUCUAAAAACAAGCGCAACGUCAGUAAUGUUUACACAAGUGAAUAGACCAAAAGAACCAAAACUUAAUAGUUGAGCAGUAAAAAAUGAACAUUGAAAAACACAUGCUUUCAAGUAGAAAAUCAAUUUUUUUAAAAUAACAAAUACAGCAGCGGUAAAAAUUGCCUCGUAAUGUCAAUAAAUAAUGCAAUUGAACAUUUACCAUAGUAAGGGAAAUACAUUAGAUGCGCUGACGUAUGCAUGUUAUAAAUACGUACAUAUGUAUGUAUGGAUGCAUAUGUACCCUAUGUGAUUUGUUUAAUUAAAAAACAAAAUAUUUGCAUACAAUAACUUCAUUCAACUCGAUACUUUUGUAUGGCUACUAUAUGCUAUAGUUUUCCGAUGUGAACAAUAUAUUUGGAGAAUGUAGCGUUGCAUUGGAAAAUAAGAAGAAAUUGAUGUUGAACGAUGAGUUGAUAUGGCAGCUACUAUAGUGGUCAUAUAUCAGCGUUUCCAACAAAUGAGCAACUUGUUGGGAAGAAACGGACGUUAGCAAAAUUUCAGAUCGAUAUUUCAAAAACUGAAGAACUGAGUGUAUACAGACAGACAAACGGACAUGGCAAAAUCGAUGCCGCACAUCACGCUGAUCAUGUAUAUAUAUGCACAUACAUAUAACUAUGAUUUUCACUCAAAAGCUACUUUUAAAUUUUACUAUAUAGUUAAUUAUAGUCAGUAAUAAUAAUCUUUCUCCUAGAGGAACCUUGAUUUAAUUGUUAUGGUGAAAUUCAUAAACCAUCCUAUAAGUAUCUACUUAGCGUUAUUUAGCAGUACUUAACAUUUCUUACCUGUUUUUUGUGUUCUUUUUUUGUGCAAAUCACAAACAAAAUGACGAAGCUAAAUUAUUGUAUUCACAAGUUUAUUAGCACAUCAAAAAUGAUACUAACAAAGCAUGUGGAAAAAGUAAGUAGCAAGAAGACUGCGUUUUUAAAUAAAUAAACAAAGGAAGUAUAUGUACAUCGACAGCUGGUAUCCGAUUGAAGGCAAUAAAAACAUUCACCAUUUCAGGUGUAUGAAUGUAUGUAUAUUCUACGUGAAAUACGAAAUCGACAUAACAGAUACACAGGCGCCAAAUGGUAGGAAGUAAAUGAUGCGACGCAUAUAGCAAAAAAGAAAAUAUACAGAUCAAAAUUAUAGCACAAAAGGAGAAAGGUUAUGCAUACUAUAAAAUUAUAAUUUUAUUUUAAUGUGCGUUCAUAGUAUUAUUUACGCAUUGUGAAUGUUCAAGAUAUGAAAAUGUUUUGAUUAUUAAAUACAUUUUAAAGCAUACAUAAGUAUGUAUCUAUGUACAUAAUUUAUAAACAGGUAUUUAGUUAUAAUUAAAUAUUUAGUAUACAAUUUAUAAGUAUGUAUUUAAAAAAAAUAUUAAGAAUAAAUGAUUAAACAAAUGUGUAUGUAUAAAAGUAAAUUAAUAAGAAUAAUUAAAUAUAAAAAAAAAAAUGAAAAUGCAGUUCACUCAUGUAACAGCUUUAUUUACGACGCAAGGCAUUCAGAAAAAUAUACAAAGUAGUGCAGUAUAUAAUUGUUUCAGAAAUGUCUACAAUUGUAUUCAUAUAUGUAUGUACAUACUCAUAUAGGUGAAUAAACUUUCAAUUUUUAUUGUGAAUAUCCGAAUUUAAAUACAUCCAUAGGUGGAGGCUUUUUUUCACCUUUUGAGACUUUUUCGGACCACUAUAGCAUAUAGUAGCUGAACGAUGAAAAUCAAGUUCUUGCAUGGAAAUUUCUUUUUCUUUCUUUUUCGCAACCGAAGGUUUUUUUUAUUACAAUUACUAUUAUAGUAAACAAUAAAAAAAAUUGCCUUCGAUAUUACAUAGAACCUGCAUUUGGAAUAUUCAUGAACAAAAAUUGUAUAAGAAGUGGUUCGUUUGGUAAAUAGUAAAUACCAACAAUGUACUUACAUAGCUAUGCAUUAAAUUAUAGUAUAAAGCUAUGACGUCAAUGGACGUAAAUGCAUUGUAUAUACGUACAUAAGUUAUAUAAUUCGUGCAUUCGUACAGACGGAGAAUUAAAGUGUGAAGAAGUAAAGGAUGUGAGGAACAAAAACAAUUAUUAUAGAACUUUGAUAAAAUAUAUUGCUAACUAUUGAAUCAGAAAAAGAAAUAUGAAUACAAAAAAUUGAUUUUCUUUCUAAAAAAUUAUAUCACCAUUUGAAUUACACAAAAUGUUAAAACUCGCUUAACGCUCAACAUGCUCAUUAUUUGAAGAACCUAUCUGUUUAUUUUGGAAACUUUUGUUUUGCUUUUAACUUCGUUAUAAGAGCCAUAAGUGACUACGUGCCGUUGCAAGAGCACAGUGUAACUGAGCUGACGUGUGUGUCGACAACAUGAAAAUGGCGUCAAUACAAAGACGCAAAAACCGGAACCACAAGCAGAUGCAGAGGUGGUGGAGUCCGACAGUCUUUCGAAUGCGUUGCAUAUACAUAAGUAAGUACAUUUAGCUAUGUACAUGUUUAUACUAAACAGAAAAGUCUAGCAAAACAAAUGAGCUAAACCCAAAUAUAUUAUUUGCGGUUAUUCGUAAUACCAAAUAUGAGCAACAGCAUUCAAUAUAUACCUUAGAAAUUCCUGUGUUUACCAAGGCAAGCACACAAUUUUAUCUUCUCAGUUCUCUAUUUUACUUUCGCAUUGUCCAAAAUAGCGCCUGCGCUAACAUCGUCUACUCUUGUUAUGUUCUUUUCUAAGCUUGAAUUGAGUUGGGAAAAACAAAUGGAUUAUUAUAUAUUCUAUAGCAAAAACUGUAUUGUUUUUUUAAGGCCUGUAUUAUGUAAUGUGGUAAAAAAAAAUAAAAUUUGUAUAUUAUUUAAGUAAAUAAUUUCGGGCAAAUAAAAGGCAUAGUAAACUGUAGUUCGCACCACACAAUGACACUGCAAAUAAGCGAAACAAUACCAAAUUCUAAACUAUUCUACCAUUGAAAAGUCAACAAAUACAGAAGUAAAUAAGAAAACGCAAAUGCAAAAACAUGAAACUAGAUAAGUAAUGGUAAGAAACUGGUAUGUACCUAUGUAAAUAAAACACAAACACAAAGUUAGCCACGAAGAGAUACUCGCUGGUUAGACGCCGUUAAAAGGUAAACAACACUUCAAAAUACCAACUAACAACACCUAGCAAAUGUAGUUGCUAAAAAAUUGCCAGACAAAAUGACGAGAAAGCUUUCAAAAAUGGCUGCUGAGUUGAGCGGCUUCUAAAAUAGCAACGAUUUAUUAAUAUCGCAAAGGCAAAAAAAAACAUGGAAUUGAUUUGCGACUUUUACACAGAUACUUCUUAUGGACUUAUUAACAAUAUAAAAUACAUGUAUGCACAAUUGUCCAAAUACUUACCGCCAAGCAAAUCUUCACCCAUUU